AUAAUAAUUUAGGUGAUAGAUAAAUGUCAUUGUAUAUUUUCUAUAAUGUAGUUGUCCAAUUGUUUAUUUUUGCUUACUGAUUUCCUUCUUCUAUUGAGAUUAAUUAUGAAAUUUUUUAGAAUCAAUUGCAAGGACUAGUUCCUCUAUCAGCACCUUUACUGGUAACAGCCCAAUAGAGGGAACAAAAAAACCUUUUAAGGUGUACACAAGGAAGCGAUUAUUUCAAGCCCUUGUUGAAGAACCUUUCACAACUAUUGACACUGUCCAUAUAAUAAAUUUGAAUUGAACCUGAAGUCAUGAAUUUAUAUAAUUUGUAUUUGUAUAAUUAAUGAACCAUCAAAUCGACUAAUAUGGAAACAGAUAAACUUGAAGGGCACUCGACUGUGACAUGUGAGUAAAAAAAAUUUUGUUAUGGUGGAUAUAAUAAAAUGUCAAAAACAAAAUAAAAAUUAUAAUAAUCA